CCCUUAGAUGCUCUGGGCCGCACGCGCGCUACACUGGUCGAUGCAACGAGUUUCUUUCCUUGGCCGACAGGCCUGGGCAAUCUUUGAACAUCGAUCGUGAUCGGGAUAGAUUCUUGUAAUUUUUGAUCUUAAACGAGGAAUUCCUAGUAAACGCAAGUCAUCAGCUUGCAUUGAUUACGUCCCUGCCCUUUGUACACACCGCCCGUCGCACCUACCGAUUGAAUGGUCUGGUGAAAUCUCCGGACUGGCGUGAGUCGGAGCAAUCUGACAAACACCGGAAAGUUGAUUAAACCUUACCAUUUAGAGGAAGGUGAANUCGUANCA
rnacentral:rRNA from 1 species